UCGCCGCGCUCCUCCUUUCGCUCGCCUGCUCUCUCCUUUCGCUCCUCCUUUCCUCUUUCUCGUAUCGCCGCCGCCACCCCACAUCCGCCGCCCUCGCUGCCCCAACCCCACCUCCGCCGCCCUCGCCGCCCGACCUCGGGAUUCAUCACCCGCCUCCACCAACUUCGUCACCUCCCCGGUGCCGACUUCGUCCCUCCCCUCACCAUCGCCGGAACCCUAACCACCGCCCCCUCGCACCGCCCGACACCCGUCGACUAGCUUCACCGCCGACGUCAUCCCUCCCCUCGCCAUCGUCGGAUGACACGCCUACACCCCGCCGCCGCCGCCCUCGCUGCCCCGACGUCAUCCCUCCCCUGACCUUCGCCGCCCGCCGAUUCCUCUAACCGCUGGCUCAUCGUGCCGCUAGACUCCGUCGACGAGGGCCGCCGCCGACGUCAUCCCUCCCCUCACCGUCGGCCGCCGAUUCGCACCGCCCGACCGACGCCGUGGCACAUCCUGCUCACAACACUCGCUCUGGACAGGAGUUUAUGACCCAUGUAGAGAAGCAUGUGGCAAUAGUACAGUAGCAUCUUGGAUUAAUCAUCCUAUCAAUUGGAGUAUUUGUGCAUGUAUGCUUGCAUUUUCUCCCGAGGGAAAACUCAAAUAGUCUCAAAUUCAGCUUACAAAACAGGAAUGGAAGAUCUUUGAUUUCUGUAUUUUUCUUUAGAUUAAAUCUGUUUUGCAGUUAUGAGAAAACAAGGCCAUUUGUUAUUAUUAUGUACGAGUAUAAUGCUUUGGCAGCAAAUUUCUUUACUUACAGUUUCACCUCUUACUUGGAGUGCACUGUAUAGAAAAAUAUGAUUCAGAUUGCAUUUCCCAUUCAAUGUACGCUUCAAUAAGGAAUUGUGAGAGAUGACCUUUGCAUCCUUCUAGCUAUUUAUUUUCCACUUAAGAUCUACGGAGUAUCACAUCAAGUGUCAGUUCUUGAUGGCAUGCCAUUGACGAAGCCAGUCGUGCCUUCUACCUGAACACAACGGACACUACCUCCCCACUUGAACAGACCAAAUCUGGAACCUCUAUCUUCAUGGACUUCACAGCUCGACAACUCCAUCCUCCAAACUCUGUUGUACAGAGCACCUGGGACAAGACUACCACCCACAUCAAGCAUGCCCAGGUAUGCAGGUACCUGCAUAUGUUUUCUCGCUGGCAUCCUGCUUGAGGAAAUGCCAAUUUGGGACGGCCUAGGUGUGCAAAACUGAUGUAUGGAUUGGUUCAAGAAAAUGCAGCACAAUAUCUGAAGCUGGUAUGUCAAUAUCCUUAUUACCUAUGUCUUUAUCUCUGCACAUCAGCGUUUGUGGUUAAAUCACAUCAAAGAAAUUUUUACCAACAAACUCGCAGAUCACAAGAAAUAUAUUAUGCAAUAUAGCCUGAUCACUUAAUGUUCAAAUGUGCUCCAGCAAAAUUCCUGAGGUUGCUAUUUUAGAGAUGUGCACCGGGAUAGAAUCCCAAAUUCUAGAGUUAAGGUCAUGUCCAUGCUGCAAUAGCCUGGAAACAAAAUCAGAAUAUUACCUUCUUGUAUUUGUUCUCUGCAGGAACAUGGGCCAUUUCGCUAACCCGAAAUGAUUGGGUGUUAAAAAAAAUUGCUUUCAGAUAUGUUGCAUUUGCCUUGUAGAGUUGUUUCCCUUUUGCAACAGUGGAGACCUUUGAUUCCUUCGAAGCUGGCAGGGUACUUGGAUGCUUUAAAGGGAUUGCUGCUUGUCAAAAUUCACGAGAUGAGGAUCAAGUCUCAACUAAUGAUCAAGAAGAUGGGAGACCGUGGAGUUCAGUUUUCCAGCUAGCUAUAAGUAUUCGGUAGUUCUGCAACUGUUUGAUGUCUGUUGCUGUCAUUUUUGUGCCGAAAUGGACCGUUCCCUUUUGAGAUAGCUCGAGAUGAACCGUUCUCUAGAGAUAUAGCUUUGGUUCUGUUGUUUUAGCAGCUUGGCAUUUGGUUGCUGCUUAGCUCAGACUGGCUUGUUCUGCCUAUCUGCUGAGCUAGCAGCUUUGCCUUUGUCCCAUGCUGCUGCAAGUUAAGCUUGAAACUCCAGCAAAACGUGUAUCAUACUCGUAUGCUUUUAGUAAGGGUGUGUUGACGCCAAAAUUGAAAGUUUGGUUGAAAUUGGAACAAUGUGACGGAAAAGUUAUUA